GACAGAGGCCCCAAGCGUUAGGCGGAAUCACUGGGCUUAAAGCGUGUGUAGGCGGACGCCUAAGUGUCUUGUGAAAUCCCACGGCUCACCCGUGGAACUGCUGGGCAUACUGGGCGUCUUGGGCCAACUAGGGGCAGCCGGAGCAAGCGGUGGAGCGGUGAAAUGCGUAGAUAUCGCUUGGAACGCCGAAGGUGAAAACAGGCUGCUGGGGUUGCGCCGACGCUGAGACACGAAAGCCAGGGGAGCAAACGGG
rnacentral:rRNA from 1 species